UACCCGCAGCACAAGUGGUGGUCAUUAUUAUUGGGCCUAAAGCGUCCGUAGCUGGCUUGUUAGAUGCCCGGGUAAAUCGAUGCGCUCAACGCAUCGAACUCCGGGUAGACCGGCAAGCUUGGGACCGGGAGAGGCGUGAGCUACUCGAGGGGUAGGGGUAAAAUCCUGUAAUCCUUCGGGGAGGACCAGUGGCGAAGGCGUCACGCUAGAACGGCUCCGACAGUGAGGGACGAAGCCCUGGGGCGCAAACCGG
rnacentral:rRNA from 1 species